rnacentral:rRNA from 1 species
CCGCGUGCAGGAAGAAGGCCUUCUGGUUGUAAACUGCUUUUGCCAGGGGAUAAAAUAUCCUUGCGAGGGUAAUUGAAGGUACCUGGUGAAUAAGCCACGGCUAACUACGUGCCAGCAGCCGCGGUAAUACGUAGGUGGCAAGCGUUGUCCGGAUUUAUUAGGUUUAAAGGGUGCGUAGGCGGUUUUGUAAGUCAGUGGUGAAAUAUGUCAGCUUAACUGAGAGGGUGCCAUUGAUACUGCAGAACUUGAGUACAGAUGAGGUAGGCGGAAUUGACGGUGUAGCGGUGAAAUGCUUAGAUAUCGUCAAGAACACCUAUAGCGAAGGCAGCUUACUAGGCUGUAACUGACGCUGAGGCACGAAAGUGUGGGGAUCAAACAGGAUUAGAUACCCUGGUAGUCCACACUGUAAACGUUGAUUACUCGCUGUGUGCGAUAUACAGUACGCGGCCAAGCGAAAGCGAUAAGUAAUCCACCUGGGGAGUACGCCGGCAACGGUG